AGAGUUGAAUACUGUCAUAUUCCCUGAAAUUUUUUCAUUUUGUUGAAACAAUUCUGAGGCACGCACCAUUAGAUAGAUUGAUUAUUAGCUCAACUGUUAGUCAUUUGGAUGCAUGACACCAUUGAGCUUAGCGGGAGUUGAGAUGGCCGAAAAUGACUCAGAAUGAAUUUGGAUGCAGCCAAUCACAAACCAGGUCUCAAGAGCAGCCACGCAUUCACCUUUGGGUCCACUUAGCAUUCUGCUCAUCAAGACACUUGUCUUUGGAAGAUUGAUGACUGGUUGAUAUAACUUCAAAUAAAAUAAGAUUUAUUGCUGGGUUCUGAUAAAUGCCUUCGAAAUGCACAGGGAAAACCACUAUUUUAUUUGUCUAUUUUCUCAUACUUAAACAAUAUAGUUAAAAAACAAAAGGCUGCUAUGACAGGAGGAGAAGGAAACAAACAGAGUCCGUUGAAACU
rnacentral:lncRNA from 1 species